CGUGGGUAACCUGCCCAAGAGACUGGGAUAACACCUGGAAACAGAUGCUAAUACCGGAUAACAACACUAGACGCAUGUCUAGAGUUUAAAAGAUGGUUCUGCUAUCACUCUUGGAUGGACCUGCGGUGCAUUAGCUAGUUGGUAAGGUAACGGCUUACCAAGGCAAUGAUGCAUAGCCGAGUUGAGAGACUGACCGGCCACAUUGGAACUGAGACACGGCCCAAACUCCUACGGGAGGCAGCAG
rnacentral:rRNA from 1 species